AAUACGUAGUAAGUAUUUUUUUCAUUUAUUUUGGUAUAUCGUCAAUGGGUUAGAGAGAGAGUCUCGCCUCUCUCUAUCUUUCCUAUUUUAUUUUCUCCAAUUUUAUUUUUCCUUUCCUCCGUUUCUUGCCUUUUCUUCUAACAGACUCCUUAUACAAUCAUGGACUCUCCAAUGUUUGAUCUUUCUCCACCUUUAUUAGAUUCCACUCUAGCAACCUCCGAUCCUUUAAUUAACCCUCCAUCAUACUGUGAAAUUACCUCAGGAAAUCUAGUUGCGACUUCAACUUAAUUUGGUCAAAGACUCACCGACCGCUCCAAAUUCCUCUGAUCUGGAUGAUUCCGUUAUCACCUUAAGCUUAGAAGACAAUAACCGGUUAUACUCACCUUAGCAACACUCGCUGAUCAUUAAGGCCUUCAGAUCUAAGUUCACUCACCAGUAUUUGAAGAUGAAAUUAGAAGCCUUUUGGAGUCUUUCAGAACCCUUUUGCUUGAUUGACUUGGGGUUUGAUUUCUACAUAGUUAAAUUACAAAACCCAACAAGCCAAGCAAAGAUCUUGCAAGGAGGGCCCUGGUUUGUAGCGGGUAGUUUUAUUUUCAUUAGGACUUGGGAACCAAAUUUUGUUCUAGUGAUUCCCAAAUCGAUUCUACUGCUGUUUGGGUGCACCUACCUCAACUGCCCACUGGGUUUUAUGAUCUUCAUAUCUUGGAAAGGGUUGGCCUAAAAAAUGGAAAGCUCUUGAAGGUAGAUGCAUGUACAUUUUCCAGAAUAAGGGGAAGAUAUCCACGCAUCUUUGUUCAGAUUGAAUUGGGUCGCCCUGUUAAAUCCUUCGUCAUCAUUGGAAGCACAAGUAAACUCUGGUUUACAAAGAAGAGAAGAUUAUCUUCAAAUUAUGCAAACACCUGGGUCAUAAAGCCCAAUAUUGCAUCAAACAGCAAGAUCCCCUUCUGGCGGCUACCUCGCCCGCUCAAGCACCCCAGGCUUGAAGUCAGCUGAUGGGAACCAUAAUGAUGGCAUACCGUCUCAUUGACUAGGAAGAAGAAGAUUAUUCUGGCAAACCGCCUCCCUAAGGAUGCAACAAGCAGUAAGCAGUCGGACAAGCUGGCCUCAGAUUGUUACUAGACAUGUUGGGAUCUCCACCUGUCCAACACUGCUAUGGGGAGAAGAACCUGGCUGCUGAUGCUCUAGCAAAAUUUGGAGCAAAGAAGGAAGAUCUGAAAAAAUGUAGUGUUUUUGUAACUCCCCCCUCCCCCCCCCCCCCCCCCCACCCACCCCCUUUUGUAGCCCGGAAUGUUUGGGCGGAUGUAGAAGGGACUACGCAUGCGAGAAUGGUUAGAUAUUCUCUUGAAAUGUUUAGGAAUUAAUUGGAUUUUUAUCUUUAAUUUUGAUACUUUAUUUUGUGUACUGCUAAUUCUAAUAUUAAAAAUUACUCUUCUCCGCUUUUC